rnacentral:rRNA from 1 species
CAGCAGCCGCGGUAAUACGAAGGGGGCUAGCGUUGUUCGGAUUUACUGGGCGUAAAGGGCGCGUAGGCGGGCGAAUAAGUCAGGGGUGAAAUCCCAAGGCUCAACCUUGGAACUGCCUUUGAUACUGUUUGUCUUGAGUUCGAGAGAGGUAAGUGGAACUGCGAGUGUAGAGGUGAAAUUCGUAGAUAUUCGCAAGAACACCAGUGGCGAAGGCGGCUUACUGGCUCGAAACUGACGCUGAGGCGCGAAAGCGUGGGGAGCAAACAGGAUUAGAUACCCGCGUAGUCCCUGUCUCUUAUAC